rnacentral:rRNA from 1 species
UGGGGAAUUUUGGACAAUGGGCGAAAGCCUGAUCCAGCAAUGCCGCGUGUGUGAAGAAGGCCUUCGGGUUGUAAAGCACUUUUGUCCGGAAAGAAAUCCUUGGCUCUAAUACAGUCGGGGGAUGACGGUACCGGAAGAAUAAGCACCGGCUAACUACGUGCCAGCAGCCGCGGUAAUACGUAGGGUGCAAGCGUUAAUCGGAAUUACUGGGCGUAAAGCGUGCGCAGGCGGUUUGCUAAGACCGAUGUGAAAUCCCCGGGCUCAACCUGGGAACUGCAUUGGUGACUGGCAGGCUAGAGUAUGGCAGAGGGGGGUAGAAUUCCACGUGUAGCAGUGAAAUGCGUAGAGAUGUGGAGGAAUACCGAUGGCGAAGGCAGCCCCCUGGGCCAAAUACUGACGCUCAUGCACGAAAGCGUGGGGAGCAAAACAGGAUUAGAUACCCUGGUAGUCCACGCCCUAAACGAUGUCAACUAGUUGUUGGGGAUUCAUUCCUUAGUAACGUAGCUAACGCGUGAAGUUGACCGCCUGGGGAGUACGGUCGCAAGAUUAAAACUCAAAUGAAUUGACGGGGUCAUAGCUGUUUCCU